CCUACGGGUGGCAGCAGUGAGGAAUAUUGGUCAAUGGGCGCGAGCCUGAACCAGCCAAGUAGCGUGAAGGAUGACUGCCCUACGGGUUGUAAACUCCUUUUAUAAAGGAAUAAAGUGAGGCACGUGUGCCUUUUUGUAUUUACUUUAUGAAUAAGGAUCGGCUAAAUCCGUGCCAGCAGCCGCGGUAAUACGGAGGAUCCGAGCGUUAUCCGGAUUUAUUGGGUUUAAGGGGAACGUAGAUGGGUUGUUAAGUCAGUUGUGAAAGUUUGCGGCUCAACCGUAAAAUUGCAAUUGAUACUGGCAGGCUUGAGUACAGUUGAGGUAGGCGGAAUUCGUGGUGUAGCGGUGAAAUGCUUAGAUAUCACGAAGAACUCCGAUUGCGAAGGCAGCUUACUAAACUGCCACUGACAUUGAUGCUCGAAAGUGUGGGUAUCAAACAGGAUUAGAUACCCGGGUAGUC
rnacentral:rRNA from 1 species